rfam:Papio anubis isolate 1X1155 chromosome 14, whole genome shotgun sequence.
GGGAAACGGGAUGAGGGGCCAGCCCCAGGCCCCGGAACAAGCAUAUGGGGCA